rnacentral:rRNA from 1 species
CGGGUGAGUAACGCGUGGAAAACCUGCCGUAUACUGGGGGAUAACACUUAGAAAUAGGUGCUAAUACCGCAUAAGCGCACAGCUUCGCAUGAAGUGGUGUGAAAAACUCUGGUGGUAUACGAUGGUUCCGCGUCUGAUUAGCUUGUUGGCGGGGGUAAUGGCUCACCAAGGCGACGAUCAGUAGCCGGCCUGAGAGGGUGAACGGCCACAUUGGGACUGAGACACGGCCCAAACUCCUACGGGAGGCAGCAG